CGUGUACAAAUAAGUCAGAAGUUGCCAGACAUUUGUUUAUUUUUAAAUUAAACUAUGCACAAAAAUCUACUAUAAUUAGCCAAAGAUCCAAGAAUUCUACUUUACUUGGACAGACCUCGAAAAGACCCAACAAUAUCUCAAAGAAAUUAGCAAUUUGAACUAUCUUCUCUGGUAAUUUGAAUUAUCUUCAUAAUGAUCGAUAAACUUACAAUAUCUUAUUUUGUUUGUUGCACGAUAGGAAUUAUUAUAAAUGGAGUUGGGCUAGUUAUUUUAUCAAACUUAAAGAAUGGCGGACUUGAUAUAACACAACGAUACGUUCUUAUAAACUUAUGCUUCAUUGAAUUAAUCAUGAGCGCUCUUCUUACAAUUAGAGGAGCACUUUUUGUAAUCAAUCUACAUAUUUCGAUAUAUUGGAAAAUUCUUAAUGUGUUCAUUUGUAUCGUAAAUACAGAGUAUUACUAUGCCACGUUUUGGUUAGUAUUCGACAGGUUUUUGCAUAUAAGGUUAAACAUAAAAUAUGUAAUCUACUGGUCAAAAAAGAAGACAAUAAUAGCGACAAUUAUUUCAUGGAUUAUUGCAGCGUUGAGUGGAAGUUUACUAGCAGUAUACAAUUUGGAGUUGUUUGCUAUUGUAUAUGUAGUCUUUGAUUUAAUUAUUCUCCUGUUUUCUGGCUGUAUUUAUGCUUACGCUUUACUAAUUUUUAAGAAACGUAGAAAAAAUGUUCGUUCUAAUCAAAAUCAACGAGGUAUAUAUAAAGGAUUGUUACUUUCGUUUUUUAUACUUGCAACGUUUACUUUGUUAGUUGCAAUACCGGACAUAAUAUGGAUGUUAGCUUAUGUGUUCAACAACAUUGAUAAAAACGUUAAAAAAUAUGUCACGUUGUACGCGUGGAUAGUUUUCCCGAUUUCAUUUUGGAGUGAUGCUUUAAUAUAUAUAUGUUUCUCUCGUAACGUUAGAACAGCGUUUAAAAGAGAGAGAACAAGAAAAGAAAGUAUUUUUUUAUUGUUAGAUUAGAAGAUCACUUCUGAAAAACAUAAAACGGUCAAAAUAAUUCAAAAAACUUUGUUUUUACGUUAACUUUUUUUUUUUUUUUUUUACAUAUAUAUUUAUUUUACAUAUUUUUUUACAUGUUAAAAAAUGUAAUACAUAUGUAAAUACCAAAAAAAGUAAUUACUAUAAAGUUGUAAAUACUACGUAAAUCUAAAAUAUGCAAACACUACGAUACAUAUAGUAUUUACAAUUUUUUACAAUAUAUCAAACUUUUACGAUAAAUAUAGCUAAAGACACUUUUAAUACAAUAAGAAACAUCACAAUAUUUACUACAUAUUUAAAAUAUCAAAAUAUUUAUUACAUAUUUGAAAUAAUAAAAUAUUUAUUAUAACGUGUUUGGAAAACGAAAAAUGUUACAAUUUAUAUUAUGUAAAAAUAGAAAAAGUUUUUAUAUUGUCG